AUAUCAAUAAGCGGAGGAAAAGAAACCAACAGGGAUUGCUCUAGUAACGGCGAGUGAAGCAGCAAUAGCUCAAAUUUGAAAUCUGGCGUCUUCGACGUCCGAGUUGUAAUUUGUAGAGGAUGCUUCUGAGUAACCACCGACCUAAGUUCCUUGGAACAGGACGUCAUAGAGGGUGAGAAUCCCGUAUGCGGUCGGAAAGGUGCUCUAUACGUAGCUCCUUCGACGAGUCGAGUUGUUUGGGAAUGCAGCUCUAAAUGGGAGGUAAAUUUCUUCUAAAGCUAAAUAUUGGCCAGAGACCGAUAGCGCACAAGUAGAGUGAUCGAAAGAUGAAAAGCACUUUGGAAAGAGAGUUAAAAAGCACGUGAAAUUGUUAAAAGGGAAGGGAUUGCAACCAGACUUGCUCGCGGUGUUCCGCCGGUCUUCUGACCGGUCUACUCGCCGCGUUGCAGGCCAGCAUCGUCUGGUGCCGCUGGAUAAGACUUGAGGAAUGUAGCUCCCUCGGGAGUGUUAUAGCCUCUUGUGAUGCAGCGAGCGCCGGGCGAGGUCCGCGCUUCGGCUAGGAUGCUGGCGUAAUGGUCGUAAUCCGCCCGUCUUGAAACACGGACCAAGGAGUCUAACAUCUAUGCGAGUGUUCGGGUGUCAAACCCCUACGCGUAAUGAAAGUGAACGGAGGUGAGAACCGCAAGGUGCAUCAUCGACCGAUCCUGAUGUCUUCGGAUGGAUUUGAGUAAGAGCAUAGCUGUUGGGACCCGAAAGAUGGUGAACUAUGCCUGAAUAGGGUGAAGCCAGAGGAAACUCUGGUGGAGGCUCGCAGCGGUUCUGACGUGCAAAUCGAUCGUCAAAUUUGGGUAUAGGGGCGAAAGACUAAUCGA
rnacentral:rRNA from 1 species